rnacentral:rRNA from 1 species
GUGCAGCAGUCGAGAAUCCUCCGCAAUACACGAAAGUGUGACGGGGCCAUCCCGAGUGCCGUCCGCUGAGGACGGCUUUUCCCCAGUGUUACAUAGUUGGGGGAAUAAGGAGAGGGCAAGCCUGGUGUCAGCCGCCGCGGUAAGUACCAGCUCUCCGAGUGGUGGGGACGCUUAUUGGGCCUAAAGCAUCCGGUAGCCGGCUGGGCAAGUCCUCCGUUAAAGUCCAACGAUUCAAUCGUUGGGCUGC